rnacentral:rRNA from 1 species
GACGAACGCUGGCGGCGUGCUUAACACAUGCAAGUCGAACGAUGAAGCCGGAGCUUGCUCUGGUGAAUUAGUGGCGAACGGGUGAGUAACACGUGAGUAACCUGCCCUUGACUCUGGGAUAACUGCUAGAAAUGGUAGCUAAUACCGGAUACGACCCUCGGAGGCAUCUCCAGGGGGUGGAAAGAAUUUCGGUCAAGGAUGGACUCGCGGCCUAUCAGCUAGUUGGUGAGGUAAUGGCUCACCAAGGCGACGACGGGUAGCCGGCCUGAGAGGGGAACAGGCCACACUGGGACUGAGACACGGCCCAGACGCCUACGGGAGGCAGCAGUGGGGAAUAUUGCACAAUGGGCGCAAGCCUGAUGCAGCAACGCCGCGUGAGGGAUGACGGCCUUCGGGUUGUAAACCUCUUUUAGUAGGGAAGAAGCGAAAGUGACGGUACCUGCAGAAAAAGCACCGGCUAACUACGUGCCAGCAGCCGCCGUAA